rnacentral:misc_RNA from 1 species
GUUGCAGGAUCAUAACUCAGUAAACGACCAUUAGGCUUACCCUCUAAAAAGUCCCACGUGACAUCAUGAAGGUAGUACUUGCACGAAGCAUCUGUAAAAUAGAUAAUUCCAUCAUCUGCUAUAUCUACACCAUCUGCGAGUUUGAAUUUUACACCGUCUGCCUCAUCUGUCAGCAACUCCACUGCACCUUCUGCACUUAUCUUCAGCAGCCCCUUAUAGGCA